rnacentral:rRNA from 1 species
AUUGAACGCUGGCGGCAGGCUUAACACAUGCAAGUCGAGCGGGGUGAUGGUGCUUGCACUAUCACUUAGCGGCGGACGGGUGAGUAAUGCUUAGGAAUCUGCCUAUUAGUGGGGGACAACAUCUCGAAAGGGGUGCUAAUACCGCAUACGUCCUACGGGAGAAAGCAGGGGAUCACUUGUGACCUUGCGCUAAUAGAUGAGCCUAAGUCGGAUUAGCUAGUUGGUGGGGUAAAGGCCUACCAAGGCGACGAUCUGUAGCGGGUCUGAGAGGAUGAUCCGCCACACUGGGACUGAGACACGGCCCAGACUCCUACGGGAGGCAGCAGUGGGGAAUAUUGGACAAUGGGGGGAACCCUGAUCCAGCCAUGCCGCGUGUGUGAAGAAGGCCUUAUGGUUGUAAAGCACUUUAAGCGAGGAGGAGGCUCCUUUGGUUAACACCCAAGAUGAGUGGACGUUACUCGCAGAAUAAGCACCGGCUAACUCUGUGCCAGCCGCCGCAGUAA